GACGAACGCUGGCGGCGUGCUUAACACAUGCAAGUCGAACGGAAAGGCCCUGCUUUUGUGGGGUGCUCGAGUGGCGAACGGGUGAGUAACACGUGAGUAACCUGCCCUUGACUUUGGGAUAACUUCAGGAAACUGGGGCUAAUACCGGGUAGGACCUCCUGCUGCAUGGUGGGGGUUGGAAAGUUUCGGCGGUUGGGGAUGGACUCGCGGCUUAUCAGCUUGUUGGUGGGGUAGUGGCUUACCAAGGCUUUGACGGGUAGCCGGCCUGAGAGGGUGACCGGCCACAUUGGGACUGAGAGACGGCCCAGACUCCUACGGGAGGCAGCAGUGGGGAAUAUUGCACAAUGGGCGGAAGCCUGAUGCAGCAACGCCGCGUGCGGGAUGACGGCCUUCGGGUUGUAAACCGCUUUCGCCGGUGACGAAGCGUGAGUGACGGUAAUGGGUAAAGAAGCACCGGCUAACUACGUG
rnacentral:rRNA from 1 species